UACGUAGGGGGCAAGCGUUGUCCGGAUUUAUUGGGCGUAAAGAGCGUGUAGGCGGCCAGGUAGGUCUGCUGUGAAAACUCGAGGCUUAACCUCGAGCUGUCGGCGGAAACCAUCUGGCUAGAGUCCGGAAGAGGAGAAUGGAAUUCCCGGUGUAGCGGUGAAAUGCGCAGAUAUCGGGAAGAACACCCGUAGCGAAGGCGGCCAGCUGGGCCGUCCCUGACACUGAGGCGCGAAGGCGUGGGGAGCGAACGGG
rnacentral:rRNA from 1 species